UUUUCACUUCGAUUGUCAUUUAUUCCUCUGUAACAUCUUGAUGAUCAUUAUAUAAUAGUAUAGUUGGUUUUCACUAAUCCCAAUCUCAAAUUUUCUGAUGAUGGUAACUUUUUGAGGGCUUGGGGUGGAAUAUCAUCUUUGCAGUUUGUGCUUCCUGUGACAUGGACAUAUGGGAAAAAAUAUGGAAUAACUUUGGAGCAAUUAGCUUCAUGGUGGAGUGAGAGGCCUGCAAGGCUUGCUGGACUAGAAUUGAAGGGAUCCAUUGAGGUUGGAAACUUUGCAGAUUUUGUUGUGUGGGAACCUGAAGUGGAGUUUGAACUCACUCAAGACCAUCCUAUAUACAUUAAACAUCCUGGAAUCUCAGCUUACAUGGGAAGAAAGUUGUACGGAAGAGUUUCAUCAACUUUUGUGAGAGGAAACCUUGUCUUCAAAGAGGGGACUCAUGCCAAUAGUGCUUGUGGUGUUACAAUAACGGCAACAUAGACUUUUUAUAACAUUAUUACUUGGGAAUAUUAUAUUAGUAAUUGUUGGUAAUGCAAAUGUGUAUAACACCAAAUAUUGACUGUGCCCUUGUUCAUGAAUUAAGUUCUUAUUAUAUAUUUGUAAGAGGAAGUGAGGCAGGGACUGAAAGUCUUUUCAAACUGACCAACGUUUGAAUUGAUAAGAGCUUAAAUCUACUUUGUCAGAGUAGAAAACUUGGUUAGCACAGUUUUCAGAAAUAGAUAACUAUCUCAUAUUAUUAAUGUUUGUAAACUCCAAUUUUGAUAUAUCUCAGUUACCAAUUCUUUUGCUG